AAGACCUUGCACUUUUGGAGCGGCCGAMGUCUGAUUAGCUAGUUGGUGGGGUAAUGGCCUACCAAAGCUUCGAUCAGUAGCUGGUCUGAGAGGACGGCCAGCCACACUGGGACUGAGACACGGCCCAGACUCCUACGGGAGGCAGCAGUGGGGAAUUUUGGACAAUGGGCGCAAGCCUGAUCCAGCCAUGCCGCGUGAGUGAAGAAGGCCUUCGGGUUGUAAAGCUCUUUCAGCCGGGAAGAAAAGGUUGCGAUUAAUAAUCGCAAUUUAUGACGGUACCGGAAGAAGAAGCGCCGGCUAACUACGUGCCAGCAGCCGCGGUAAUACGUAGGGUGCGAGCGUUAAUCGGAAUUACUGGGCGUAAAGGGUGCGCAGGCGGUUUUGUAAGUCAGAUGUGAAAUCCCCGGGCUUAACCUGGGAACU
rnacentral:rRNA from 1 species